ACCAGGGUAGUCGCCUACAAAGUACAACCGCAAGAAGCGAGGGAGGGAGGAGAUCUCGGAGCAGUGGAGGCAGCUGGCGCGGACUACGGCGCCUGGCACCCUCCCGCGCGCGGCCACCUCGGACUGGGAGGGAAGUCCGCAAGUGUCUCAAUAAAUCCACUCACCCGAGGCUCCGCGGCUACGACGUCGCCGACAUGCUCCGGACGAGAUACGCGGGUUCGGCUAGGAGCCUAGGAGGGCAACGGGGACGAGGUGAGGUGCCGCCUGGUUCGGCUAGGAGGGGAAGGUGAGCCAGAAUCCGAGACGACGUCGCCGUCGCCGGAGGGGAUCAGGGGAACGGGAACAGGACGUGGCCUGUGGGAGAAUGGGAAAAGAUUAGGGGGCUUUUUGCUAAUAUUUGGAAUAAUCGCGAUCCAAAUAUUUUCAUAAACACCUCUGAAAUGGAUCGCAAUUAAUCGGCGCGAUCCGAUUUAGGAUUUUUUUUAAAUAUUUGGAUCGCGAUUAAUAGUCGCGAUCCGUUUCAGGGGGCUUUUGCAAAUAUUGGGUAACGAGUGAGGGGGUUUGACGUGAAACAACCUGGAGCUCCAGACCGCCGGCCAUGGCGGAUCCGAGCCCGUCUCAGCCAUCGACUUCCACGGUGCUACGGAUGAGAGAAGAUGAAGCCGUUGGUCGCACUGGAGGACGCUGCCGUAGAUUCGUCGGAGAAGUGUCGGCCGGGGGCGCACGUCCCGCGGCCGGACCCUCG
rnacentral:lncRNA from 1 species